UGCAGUCGAACGAUGAAGCCCUUCGGGGUGGAUUAGUGGCGAACGGGUGAGUAACACGUGGGCAAUCUGCCCUGCACUCUGGGACAAGCCCUGGAAACGGGGUCUAAUACCGGAUAUGACCAUCUUGGGCAUCCUUGAUGGUGUAAAGCUCCGGCGGUGCAGGAUGAGCCCGCGGCCUAUCAGCUUGUUGGUGAGGUAACGGCUCACCAAGGCGACGACGGGUAGCCGGCCUGAGAGGGCGACCGGCCACACUGGGACUGAGACACGGCCCAGACUCCUACGGGAGGCAGCAGUGGGGAAUAUUGCACAAUGGGCGAAAGCCUGAUGCAGCGACGCCGCGUGAGGGAUGACGGCCUUCGGGUUGUAAACCUCUUUCAGCAGGGAAGAAGCGAGAGUGACGGUACCUGCAGAAGAAGCGCCGGCUAACUACGUGCCAGCAGCCGCGGUAAUACGUAGGGCGCAAGCGUUGUCCGGAAUUAUUGGGCGUAAAGAGCUCGUAGGCGGCUUGUCACGUCGGUUGUGAAAGCCCGGGGCUUAACCCCGGGUCUGCAGUCGAUACGGGCAGGCUAGAGUUCGGUAGGGGAGAUCGGAAUUCCUGGUGUAGCGGUGAAAUGCGCAGAUAUCAGGAGGAACACCGGUGGCGAAGGCGGAUCUCUGGGCCGAUACUGACGCUGAGGAGCGAAGC
rnacentral:rRNA from 1 species